GGUGCUCGAGCUGUGGUGCGUGCCGCUAAGUUGUGCGUUCCAGGGUGCACUCGCCGGCGAGGCUGCACGGCGCCGGUUUCAUUGCUAAAAUCCGACGGACUUGUUGCAGAACUCGUUUUUUUUGUCGGGAAAGGGCUUCCCCGUGUAACUUUACAGCAGUUAUCGUAGAUAAGACUUGCAAAUUACAGAUGUGGACGGUGAGGGAACGGGAAUUUCACUGAAAGCGCCUGAGAACCAGUAAGAGACCUGCAACAGCUUUGUGCUCCACUGGCGAAUGCUUCCUCCCCUAAUACACAUUAUGUGUGCUUGGAGACACAAGGAGUAAGAUACAGCCCCUCAAGGGACUCGUCAUAGGGAGAGGACACAGCUUUGGGAAUAAAGGGGCCACAAAGGAGGAGAGAGGAGUUUGCUGAAACUUCCCAAGCUCCCAUUCCAGCAGUUCCUGAAGGAUUCAUUUCUCUCUGAGGAUCUCAUGAGGUGGCUUAGCAGCUAGAAUCUCUUCCUUAACAGUGGGAAGAACAACUCCUGGAAAUUUAGGUCGACUUUGACUGGAUUUAAAAGAAAGCUGUACAAUUCCACUUCUGUAUAUACAACCAAAGGAAAUGAGAUGUGCAUACCCAUGUUCAAUGAAGCAUUAUUCACAAUAGCCAAAAUGUGGAACCAAUCCUUAAACAAAAGGAAAACAGAAAAUCUGCUCAAGUCCCUGCAGGCACCUGAGAAAAUCACAACCCACACUUGCGAACCCCUAGGAGACCUAAAGCUGUGGUUUUACAAAUAAACAGAUAAGUAACAUUCCUACUCUUUCCUAUAGGUACUCAAUCUUCUUAACAACUCCCAUCCCACACAGGUUUGCAUCCCCAGCAGAUACAUAUGGCUAUGUGGUCACCCAUUCGAUCAGCCUAUAAAAGACUUGUCUUAUUUGAUAUUGUGAAACCCAUGGUUAUCAGUGUAUAUGAAAAUGUUUGGUUCAGGGGUCAAUGUACAAUAUGACAAGCAAAGUCCUCUAAUACACAGUUAUAUAAAAUCACUCACCUGAGAGCCAAGUGGACAAUUGGCCUUAUAUUGGCUGGAGUUGGAGCCCCAGAGGGAAAAUUUGCCUAUUAUUAGGCAACUCUUCAAAACUUUACUUAUUCGUUUCUAAACACUGUCUCAUAAAAUGGGGGAUGCUUUAGAUGAAUUAAGAUUAGCACUAGAUUACUUAUUCGUUGAAAAUUAGCACUAGAUUUCUUAUUGGUUGAACAAGGAGGAGUGUGCACCAUAAUCAAUAUAACCUGCUGCAGUUAUGUAAACACCUCAGGUCACAUAGAAGAAGAUAUACAGAAAAUACAUGAACAAGCUGUGUGGUUGCGUAAAUAUAACCAAGGCACCAAUCCCAACUGUAUCUGGUCAGCCAUUAGAAGCACCCUCCUGAGUCUCACUUGGUUGUUGCCCUUCCUAGGAACUUUGAUAGUUGUCUUAUUAUUAAUCUUUGGCCCUUGCUUGUUUAAAUUCUUGGUAAAGUUUGUGUUUUUUAGAUUACAACAAUUCCACAUAAAGAUGAUACUGACACAAAGCUUCCAAUCCAUCCCGUCUUCUGAACCGGGAAAUAAAGACACCCUGCCUUUAGGUGUCUUUAGAUCUAGAUCAGGCAUCUAGAGAUUUUUACUCCUCCAAUACUUGGCAGGGUCUAUGCCCGUAGACUCAUCAGGAUACCAUGUAAAUGAGGACCUCCCUUGGUACCCCAGAGGCCAACUGUAGACCCUUAUGAGAAAAUCCUGUCCCCAAAAUGAACAUCCACUGUCAGCAGGAAGAAGUUACAGAAGACCAGCCUUUGCCCUUACGAUUAAGGGUCCUCUUGUAAGUAGAGAGGGGAAUGUUAGGAAAGCAGGAGCCUAGGUGAUCCAGAGUGACACCAUUUUAAAAUAAACUCCACCUGAAAACUAGCAAGGCAUCUGCACACAUCUGUUUAGCAAGUAUAUACUUCUGUAACUGGAAUAAAAAGCGUUAUUUUAGAAUAUGCCUAUAGUUUGUAAUAAUUAGCCGAGGGAAAAAAAGUUCACAUUGGUGUAGGAAAAGUGCCCUAAUGGUCAUGGGUAAUAAUGGGACCGUGGUUCUGGUCAGUGAUUUGAUGGAAGGGGUGUAGAUAAUAUAUUGUUGUAAAUAAUAAAAAUAAAAAAUUGUUGUAAGUAAUAAAAAUAAAAUAAUAUUGUUGUAAGUAAUAAAGUAGGAGAAAUAUUUGGUCUUUUGCUUUUGGGUUAGUGCAACAGUAGUACCAUUACUUGGAGGAGAAGUUAGAGAAGGACAAGAAUAGGCUUGAAUAAGAUGAGUGAGAAGAGAGAAAAAUUCCGUAAGUGGAGAUGGCCAGGGAACACCAGGGCAGCAGAAUCUAACUCUGAAUUUAAUGCUGUUGUCUGUUCAUAUUGCACUGCGCUGUAAUCUCCCUAUCUUUCCUAAACCAUUGGCAAAGUCUGCUAUCCACUGGGGCCUUGGGUCGGUGGUGCUUUGGGAAAUACCAGAAGAGGGAAAGUACGGCAAAUGUGCAGUGUCACAGAUGAUAGGAGGAAAGCUGGCCAGUGGGAUGAUUAAAACAAUUUCGGUGGGAGUGGGAAUUCAGACCAUGUAAAUGGUCUGAAUUAAGAAAAUUUCAAGAAACAAAAAAUGUUUCUAAUGAGCCAAAGUGAAAGCUCUUCAUGAUUUCUUUAUAGAGGCUCUCUAGUGCUUGUCCUAAUUUCCUGAAAUCUCAUGGGUAUCUUACUCUCCUGGUGCCCGCCUCAAACAUUCACUGUAGCAAUUAUAUGAGCAGCCUAGAGAAUCCCAAUCCCAGUGGUCUUGCUCCCUGGAUCUACUUUCUCUUAAAAAUCAUUCCCCUAAGUUUCCGUCACUUGGUUGAAGUUUAGUAGAUAUCUCCACAUCUCCAGCUAGAACAGCACCAGAAUUUCAGGACUAGGGCAAUAGAGUCUGAUAUUAAAUUCUAUUUCUAUCUAUCUAUCUAUCAUCUAUCUAUCUAUCUAUCUAUCUAUCUAUCUAUCUAUCUAUCUAUCUACAGAACAAUUUGUGGGAUAGUAGCUUUGGGGUCCCAGAUCUAGGAUGGGCCUGGUCCUCCAUGCUGGUUCUCCUGGGUGAUAUUUCUGUUAGUUUGAACAGUAAUCACACUUUUAUUACUGUUUCAUCUUUUUUUUUUCACUCUUAGACUGAUUUUAUCAUGUGUAUAAAACAUACACACACCUACAUCUCAAGGAUAAACAUUAAUCCUUGAAAAAUAUGUGGUCUAAAACUAUAUUGAGGAGAGAAAGAUAGGACACUUUAAUUGCCACAUGAUUAACACGAGGUCACCACACAGCUUUCACAAAUCUACAAGUCAUUCUAUUUAGGCUGAGUCAAGUUCUCCCUUGGGCCAGCCAGAGCACAAAUAAUGGAGCAAUGUGACUCUUCAAUGACAGAUCUCUGAUUUCCAGAAAAGAGACUUUGAAAUACCCAAUUCUAGUAAAUAUGCAAUUAAAUUUCCAGCUAAAUGACCUUUGCUCCUGUAGUCUUCAUCUUGGGGAAGGGAAAGAAGUCUUAUUCUGUUUAAUAGUUUGAUUUUUAUAAUAGGGUUUGUCUCUGUUAUAAAUCUUGUUUGAUAUUUAAAAUGUUAGCUAAGAGAAAACUUCUGUUUGUUUUUAUUUAGUGGGAAGAAACUAACCCUCAUUGAGUGCCUAGUUAACAUCAGGCACUUUGUACACAUAAUCAAUUGAAUCUUGACCACAACCCUGUGAGAUCCAUGGAUGAUUCUGGGUUUAGUUCUUUGUGAGACUGCCAGAAACUCCCAGAGGCUGGAUCUAUGCAUAAAGAGAGGCCAUUGGAGAGAAUGUCUACUGAAUUGCUGAAGACAAUUGCUACCGAGAAUAGAUCGUAACUUAGGAAGAAACAAUUCAGUACCAAAAGAGUAAUUGGAGCCCUUCUGGAAAACACUAGUAAGGUGAAAAAUGAGAAGAUUAAAUAAGCCAUGGGAAGAUUUUUUAAAAUGACAUGAAACUCCAAGGGUAAAAAGUAGGCAUUUCCACCUUUCCCUGCUUCAUCCAUACCUCCAAAAACAGAACCCUUCAAAGAACGUCCUGAGAAGAACAACUGGCCACUGAUUUUGAGUUGAACACUGGCAGGCAACACCCCAACAACCACACAGACCCCAUAGCUCUCAUUGCAGGAGGCGAGGGCAGCUGCCUGUUAGAAAGUGAUGCAAUACAGUAUAGGGGUUAAAAGAUGUAUGUGAGGAUUGAGCCUACAUCUUAAUUUCAGCUUAACUCCUAAAUGGUCUAUGACUUUCUUUUCUGAUUCUCCCUAUUCUCAUUUGAAGUAACAUUUAUCUUGUAAGGAUGCUAUGAAACACAUAUAAGACGUUGUAUGUUGCUUAGUAUAGUACCUGGCACUUUAGGACUCAAUAAAUGGAAAUAACAAAAAUGAAAAUAGUAAAAACAUCCACAGUAGUGAUAAUAAUAAAAAUAAUUUUUAUAAAAAUUAUUACUGAUGCAGGUGGCUGGUAAGAAUUGACAUUUUUCUUUUAGACAUCUAAGAAGACAGAUAUUUAUAUAAUAAGAUGAUAGCAAAGUGAGAAACAGAUACCGUUACAUUCGUUAUGUUCAAAGGCUAUUUCUCAGAGUAAGAGUGUGAGAAAGGUUUUGCUGUUUCUUCUUACAG
rnacentral:lncRNA from 1 species